rnacentral:rRNA from 1 species
GACGAACGCUGGCGGCGUGCUUAACACAUGCAAGUCGAGCGGUAAGGCCCUUUCGGGGGUACACGAGCGGCGAACGGGUGAGUAACACGUGGGUGACCUGCCCUCAGCUCUGGGAUAAGCCUGGGAAACCGGGUCUAAUACUGGAUAUGACUCCAUGACGCAUGUUGUGGGGGUGGAAAGCCUUGUGCGGCUGAGGAUGGGCCCGCGGCCUAUCAGCUUGUUGGG